UUGGAAAAAGCAGCAGGCAAAAAAAGAAAUUCACUCACACAGCCGGGUCGAAAAGUUUUGCUUGUGUAGCUGAGGCCGAGGAACUGUCGUCCGGUCAAAAAGUUGGACGCCUUCAACUUUUUAAGAUUACACAUAGGAAGAAAGAUGGAUCUCCUAUGACUCCUGAAGCUGCAGAAAUUAUGGAAAAACUAAAGGAUAAAAAGGCAGAGUA